rnacentral:rRNA from 1 species
CGGGUGAGUAACGCAUAGGAAUCUACCCAGUAGCGGGGGAUAACACGGAGAAAUCCGUGCUAAUACCGCAUACGUCCUACGGGAGAAAGCGGGGGACCUUCGGGCCUCGCACUAUUGGAUGAGCCUAUGUCAGAUUAGCUUGUUGGUAGGGUAAUGGCCUACCAAGGCAACGAUCUGUAGCUGGUCUGAGAGGAUGAUCAGCCACACUGGAACUGAGACACGGUCCAG